rnacentral:rRNA from 1 species
UACGUAGGGUGCGAGCGUUAAUCGGAAUUACUGGGCGUAAAGCGUGCGCAGGCGGUUCGUUGUGUCCGUCGUGAAAGCCCGGGCCUAACCUGGGAACUGCGAUGGAAACUAGCGAGCUGGAGUGUGGCAGAGGGGGGUGGAAUUCCGCGUGUAGCAGUGAAAUGCGUAGAGAUGCGGAGGAACACCGAUGGCGAAGGCAGCCCCCUGGGCUAACACUGACGCUCAGGCACGAAAGCGUGGGGAGCAAACAGG